rnacentral:rRNA from 1 species
AGGGGCUCUUCGGAGUCACAGGCAAAAUGCUCAGUAACACGUCGUUAAUCUAACCUUAGAUCUGGAAUAACCUUGGAAAACUGAGGCUAAAACCGGAUAUGGGAAAAUAAUUGGAAAAUGUUUUCCUUUAAAAGCAAUGUCUAAGGAUGAGACGGCGGCGGAUUAGGUUGUUGGCGGGGUAAUGGCCCACCAAGCCGACGAUCCGUAGGGGCCGUGAGAGCGGUAGCCCCGAGAAGGACACUGAGAUACUGGUCCUAGCCCUACGGGGUGCAGCAGGCGCGAAACCUUUACAAUGCACGAAAGUGUGAUAAGGGAACCCUAAGUGCUCAUGUUUUACAUGGGCUUUUGCCAAGAAUAGAUAUCUUGGCGAAUAAGUGGUGGGAAAGACUGGUGCCAGCAGCCGCGGUAACACCAGCGCCACAAGUAGGGACCACUACUAUUGGGCCUAAAGCGUCCGUAGCCGGCUGAAUAAAUUUCUUGUGAAAUUGUUGGGCUUAACCUAACAACGUGCAGGAGAAACUGUUCAGCUUGGAACCGGGAGAAGUCAGGAGUAUGCUGGGGGGAGCGGUAAAAUGUUAUAAUCCCCGGUAGACUACCAGUGGCGAAGGCGCCUGACUAGAACGGAUUCGACGGUGAGGGACGAAAGCCAGGGGAGCGAAGCGGAUUAGAUACCCGUGUAGUCCUGGCCGUAAACGCUGCGAGCUAGGUGUUGCAUAUUCUACAUGAAUAUGCAGUAUCGAAGCGAAGGUGAUAAGCUCGCCGCCUGGGAAGUAUGGUCGCAAGGCUGAAACUUAAAGGAAUUGGCGGGGGAGCACUACAAGGGGUGCGGCGUGCGGUUUAAUCUAAUUCAACGCAGAGAAUCUCGCCAGAAGCGACGGCAGGAUGAAAGUCAGGCUAAAGGUCUUACUUGACGAGCCGAGAGGUAGUGCAUGGCCGCCGUCAGCUCGUGCUGUAAAGUGUCCUGUUAAGUCAGGCAACGAGCGAGACCUGCAUCUACAAUUGCUAACGGAUUCUUUAGAAUGACUGAGCACAUUGUGGAGACUGCCCCGGAAACAGGGAGGAAGGUGCAGACUACGGUAGGUCUGUAUGCUCCGAAUCUUCUGGGCUACACGCGCGCAACAAUGGUAAGGACAAUGGGAUGCGACUCCGAAAGGAGGAGCUAAUCCUCGAAACCUUAUCCAAGUCUAGAUUGAGGAUUGUAACUCAUCCUCAUGACAAUGGAAUCCCUAGUAAUCAGAGUUUAUCAUACUCCGGUGAACAUGUCCCUGCUCCUUGCACACACCGCCCGUCAAGCCACCCGAGUAGGGUUUAGGUGAGAGGUAAAUUUUAUUUGCAUCGAACCUAAGCUCAGCGAGGAGGGCUAAGUCGUCACAAGGUA